rnacentral:misc_RNA from 1 species
GAACGCACCUUGCACCCUUUGGUAUUCCGAAGGGUAUGCUCGUUUGAGUGUCAUGAAACUCUCAACCCCCGGGUUUCCGGGUGGCUUGGAUUUGGGCGCUGCCGCCUUGGCUCGCCUUAAAAGACUUAGUGGGAUACGCCGUCGCCCGAUGUAAUACGUUUCGUCUGGUGCUGUGCCGACUCUUGCUCAUAACACCCCAUAUUUUGUGCUCUGACCUCAAAUCAGGUAGGACUACCCGCUGAACUUAAG